rnacentral:tRNA from 1 species
GACAAGAUGGCUGAGUGGUUAAGGUGAUGAUUGCUAAUCCAUUGUACUCUGCAUGAAUGGGUUAGAAUCCCAUCCUAGUUG